GGGCCCUUAGCUCAGCUGGUAGAGCAGCUGACUCUUAAUCAGCGGGUCGGGAGUUCGAAUCUCCCAGGGCUCACCA
rnacentral:tRNA from 1 species